rnacentral:rRNA from 1 species
AAGGUAGCGAAAUUCCUUGUCGGUUAAAUACCGACCUGCAUGAAUGGCGUAACGAGAUGGGAGCUGUCUCAAAGAGGGAUCCAGUGAAAUUGUAGUGGAGGUGAAAAUUCCUCCUACCCGCGGCAAGACGGAAAGACCCCGUGGACCUUUACUACAGCUUGACACUGCUACUUGGAUAAGAAUGUGCAGGAUAGGUGGGAGGCUUUGAGUAUAUGACGCCAGUUGUAUAUGAGCCAUUGUUGAGAUACCACUCUUUCUUAUUUGGGUAGCUAACCAGCUUGAGUUAUCCUCAAGUGGGACAAUGUCUGGUGGGUAGUUUGACUGGGGCGGUCGCCUCCCAAA